CAAAAACAUCUCCCUUUGGUUAAUAUAUGGGGUAGGCCCUGCCCGGUGGGAAGUUAUUUUUCAAAACGGAACUAUUUUAAAGUAGCAUAAUAAGUCGUCCUUUAAUUGGGGUCUGGAAUGAAUGGGUUGACGUAGAAGUAUCUGUCUUAAAGAAAUAUAUUGAAAUUUUCUUUCUAGUGAAAAGCCUAGGAUUUAUAUAAAAGACGAGAAGACCCCGUCGAGCUUAGUGAAGAGAGCAAGUUCUUUGUUCUCUUAUGUUUAAUUGGGGCAAUUAAGGAGAAAUAAAACCUCUUUUAUAUAAGCAUGGAUCCACUUUUUGUGAAAAAGGAAAAAGCUACCGCGGGGAUAACAGCGCAAGAUUCUUUGAGAGUUCAUAUCUAAGAGAGUAAUUGCGACCUCGAUGUUGGAUUAAAAGUGCUGUUCGGUUGCAGAAGCUGAAUUUGUGGGACUGUUCGUCCUUUAAAUUUUUACAUGAUCUGAGUU
rnacentral:rRNA from 1 species